rnacentral:lncRNA from 1 species
GUUUCUUGUAGCUGAAAUGCCUUGAACUUUUGAACAGAGCUUUGCUGAAGCUCACAAAGCUGUGACUACACAGCAUGACAGCAAUACUCCUGCACAUUUGGAGUUUCUUAUUUGGUAGCUUCUAUGCGUCCGUACGGAGUCGGGGAAAACAUUCCAUUUCCUAGACCCUGAGCCUGCCACGAUCGGGUGGAUCAGUAUGAACAAGGAAGCCCCGUUCAAGAAGAAGAUGAACAAAAGCGUCUUCUGGUCACAGUCUGGAACCAAGAGAGAAACUCCAGGUAAAGCCACUUUCAGGACGGGGCUGGGGUUGCAAUGCUGCUGAGCCGUCUCUUUAACAGG